UCAGUUUCUAUUGUUUUAAGCCACCCAGUUGUGGUAAUUUAUUAUGACAGCCAUGGGAAACUAACAUAGUUGGGUGCAGCCAGAGGGCUGUACACCAGCUUUCUCUGCCUGGAAUUGAUGCCUAUCACUUUUGUUCACUUUUUAGUGACCAAAACAAGCCACAUGACAGUCUUUCUUCAAGGGGACAGACAGUGCAACUCUGUCACUGGUUUUGGAAGACAACAAGGUAUCAGUUCAGUAUUCUUUAUACCAGAAUUAUACAAAGACUCUGAAAGUGAGUAAAUGUGUAAGCUAAUACUUUCUUUUAGGUGAGUAGUAAACCACAAUUUAUUCAUUCAACAGGUAUUAACUAAGACGUACUGUAUUCCAGAUGUUGUGUGCAGCAUAGGGGGUACAAGGGAGAGCAUAUGAGGAACGCUGAAGCUUUCCUUAAAGCACUGGAAUC
rnacentral:lncRNA from 13 species